rnacentral:rRNA from 1 species
AGAAUGAACGUUGGCGGCGUGGAUUAGGCAUGCAAGUCGAACGGGCCUGGUAGCAAUAUCAGGUCAGUGGCGUAAGGGUGAGUAAGGCGACGGCAACCAACCCCAUGGUUGGGCAUAGCCGCGGGAAACUGCGGGUAAUUCCCAGCGAUGUUCGUACCGGGCAUCCGGUGUGAACCAAAGUUCUGGCGCCGUGGGACGGGCCGUCGUGGUAUUAGGUAGUUGGCGGGGUAAUGGCCCACCAAGCCUCUGAUGCCUACCGGGCGUGCGAGCGUGGCCCGGCACACUGGGACUGAGACACUGCCCAGACUCCUACGGGAGGCUGCAGUCGAGAAUCUUCGGCAAUGGGCGCAAGCCUGACCGAGCGACGCCGCGUGGAGGAUGAAGGCCUUCGGGUUGUAAACUCCUGUCGAGGGGGAGGAAGGGGUAACCUUGACCUAUCCCUGGAGGAAGCACGGGCUAAGUUCGUGCCAGCAGCCGC